UGAGCAAUCUGCCCUUCUCAUCGGAAUAAGCGUUGGAAACGACGUCUAAUGCCGAAUACGACCUCCUUUCGCAUGAUCGGAGGUGGAAAGCUCCGGCGGAGAAGGAUGAGCUCGCGGCCUAUCGGCUAGUUGGUGUGGGUAAUGGCCCACCAAGGCGACGACGGGUAGCCGGCCUGAGAGGGUGACCCGGCCACACUGGGACUGAGACACGGCCCAGACUCCGUACGGGAGCAG
rnacentral:rRNA from 1 species